rnacentral:rRNA from 1 species
UACGGAGGGUGCGAGCGUUGUCCGGAAUCAUUGGGCGUAAAGGGCGCGUAGGUGGCCCGGUCAGUUCGUGGUGAAAGCGCGGGGCUCAACCCUGCGUCGGCCAUGAAUACUGCCGCGGCUGGAGCACUGUAGAGGCAGGCGGAAUUCCGGGUGUAGCGGUGGAAUGCGUAGAGAUCCGGAAGAACACCGGUGGCGAAGGCGGUGGUCUGGGCCGGCACUGACGCUGAGGAGCGAAAGCGUGGGUAGCAAACAGG